rnacentral:rRNA from 1 species
UACGGGGGGGGCAAGCGUUGUUCGGAAUUACUGGGCGUAAAGGGCUCGUAGGCGGCCAACUAAGUCAGACGUGAAAUCCCUCGGCUUAACCGGGGAACUGCGUCUGAUACUGGAUGGCUUGAAUCCGGGAGAGGGAUGCGGAAUUCCUGGUGUAGCGGUGAAAUGCGCAGAUAUCAGGAGGAACACCGAUUGCGAAGGCAGCUCGCUGGGACGUCACUGACGCUGAGACGCGAAAGCGUGGGGAGCAAACAGG